rnacentral:rRNA from 1 species
GACGGAGGAUGCAAGUGUUAUCCGGAAUCACUGGGCGUAAAGCGUCUGUAGGUGGUUUAAUAAGUCAACUGUUAAAUCUUGAGGCUCAACCUCAAAAUCGCAGUCGAAACUAUUAGGCUAGAGUAUAGUAGGGGUAAAGGGAAUUCCCGGUGUAGCGGUGAAAUGCGUAGAGAUCGGGAAGAACAUCGGUGGCGAAAGCGCUCUGCUGGACCAUAACUGACACUCAGGGACGAAAGCUAGGGGAGCGAAUGGG